rnacentral:rRNA from 1 species
GACCCUAAAAAGUCCCCUAGACACAAAGGUUUGGUCCUGGCCUUGAAAUCAUUUGUUACUCAAUAUACACAUGCAAGUCUCCGCAUCCCUGUGAAAACGCCCUUAUAAUCCCCAAUAGGGAAUAGGAGCUGGUAUCAGGCACGAAAAAUCUGCCCAAAACACCUAGCUUUGCCACACCCACAAGGGAACUCAGCAGUGAUUAACAUUGAAUAUAAGCGCCAGCUUGAUUCAGUCAGAGUAAAGAGAGCCGGCAAAUCUGGUGCCAGCCGCCGCGGUUACACCACGUGGCUCAAAUUGAUUCUUACCGGCGUAAAGCGUGAUUAAAGUUCUUAUUAAACUUAGAAUUAAACUGAAACUAAGCUGUGACACGCUUGUUACUUAAGAAACCCAAAAACGAAAGUUAUUCUAAUUAACACAACUUGAAUUCACGACAGCUGAAACACAAACUGGGAUUAGAUACCCCACUAUGUUCAGCCGUAAACUUUAAAUUACAACCCCAAUCGCCAGGGAACUACGAGCCAAGCUA